rnacentral:rRNA from 1 species
GGGGGGACCAUCCUCCAAGGCUAAAUACUCCUGACUGACCGAUAGUGAACCAGUACCGUGAGGGAAAGGCGAAAAGAACCCCUGUGAGGGGAGUGAAAUAGAACCUGAAACCGUGUACGUACAAGCAGUAGGAGCCCACUUGUUGGGUGACUGCGUACCUUUUGUAUAAUGGGUCAGCGACUUAAUUUUAGUAGCAAGGUUAACCGUUUAGGGGAGCCGUAGGGAAACCGAGUCUUAACUGGGCGUCAUAGUUGCUAGGAUUAGACCCGAAACCGAGUGAUCUAGCCAUGGGCAGGUUGAAGGUGAGGUAACACUUACUGGAGGACCGAACCGACUAAUGUUGAAAAAUUAGCGGAUGACUUGUGGCUAGGGGUGAAAGGCCAAUCAAACUCGGAGAUAGCUGGUUCUCCCCGAAAGCUAUUUAGGUAGCGCCUCGGACGAAUACUACUGGGGGUAGAGCACUGUUAAGGCUAGGGGGUCAUCCCGACUUACCAACCCUUUGCAAACUCCGAAUACCAGUAAGUACUAUCCGGGAGACACACGGCGGGUGCUAACGUCCGUCGUGAAGAGGGAAACAACCCAGACCGCCAGCUAAGGUCCCAAAGUUAUAGCUAAGUGGGAAACGAUGUGGGAAGGCUCAGACAGCCAGGAUGUUGGCUUAGAAGCAGCCAUCAUUUAAAGAAAGCGUAAUAGCUCACUGGUCGAGUCGGCCUGCGCGGAAGAUUUAACGGGGCUAAGCUAUACACCGAAGCUGCGGCAAUGUGAAUUUAUUCACAUUGGGUAGGGGAGCGUUCUGUAAGCCGUUGAAGGUGAGUUGUAAAGCUUGCUGGAGGUAUCAGAAGUGCGA